UCCUUGGUGGUCCAGUGGCUAAGAUUCUGCACUUCCAAUGCAGAGGGCCAAGGUUUAACCCCUGGUCAGGGAA
rfam:Ovis aries breed Texel chromosome 11, whole genome shotgun sequence.